rnacentral:circRNA from 1 species
AAGUUUGUACGAGUUCAGUGGAGGAGACCGCAAGUUGAGUGGAGGAGGCGGCGGUGGGGCCCCGGACCAGGUGCCUCCAUGGCAGGCUCUGAAGAGCUGGGGCUCCGGGAAGACACGCUGAGGGUCCUAGCUGCCUUCCUUAGGCGUGGUGAGGCUGCCGGGUCUCCUGUUCCAACUCCACCUAGAAGCCCUGCCCAAGAAGAGCCAACAGACUUCCUGAGCCGCCUUCGAAGAUGUCUUCCCUGCUCCCUGGGGCGAGGAGCAGCCCCCUCUGAGUCCCCUCGGCCUUGCUCUCUGCCCAUCCGCCCCUGCUAUGGUUUAGAGCCUGGCCCAGCUACUCCAGACUUCUAUGCUUUGGUGGCCCAGCGGCUGGAACAGCUGGUCCAAGAGCAGCUGAAAUCUCCGCCCAGCCCAGAAUUACAGGGUCCCCCAUCGACAGAGAAGGAAGCCAUACUGCGGAGGCUGGUGGCCCUGCUGGAGGAGGAGGCAGAAGUCAUUAACCAGAAGGAGGGCAUCCUGGCUGUUUCACCCGUGGACUUGAACUUGCCAUUGGACUGAGCUCUUUCUCAGAAGCUGCUACAAGAUGACACCUCAUGUCCCUGCCCUCUUCGUGUGCUUUUCCAAGUCUUCCUAUUCCACUCAGGGCUGUGGGGUGGUGGUUGCCCUACCUGUUUUUGCCAAAAAUAAAUUGUUUAAAACUUUUCUUAUUAAAAACGUUACA